rnacentral:tRNA from 1 species
GAGGUUGUGGCUCAGUGGUAGAGUGCUCACCUAGAACAUGUGAGGUGCUUCGUUCAAACCUCAGUACCACA